GAUCCUGGCUCAGGAUGAACGCUAGCUACAGGCUUAACACAUGCAAGUCGAGGGGCAGCAUGGCCUAUCUUUCGGGAUAGGCUGAUGGCGACCGGCGCACGGGUGAGUAACGCGUAUCCAACCUUCCCUUUACUGGGGUUCAGCCCGUCGAAAGGCGGAUUAAUCCCCCAUGUUCUCCGUCCCGGACAUCUGUGUCGGAGCAAAGAUUUAUCGGUAAAGGAUGGGGAUGCGUCCGAUUAGCUUGUUGGCGGGGUAACGGCCCACCAAGGCAUCGAUCGGUAGGGGUUCUGAGAGGAAGGUCCCCCACACUGGAACUGAGACACGGUCCAGACUCCUACGGGAGGCAGCAGUGAGGAAUAUUGGUCAAUGGCCGCAAGGCUGAACCAGCCAAGUAGCGUGAGGGAAGACUGCCCUAUGGGUUGUAAACCUCUUUUAUGCGGGGAUAAAGGCGUCCACGUGUGGAUGUUUGCAGGUACCGCAUGAAUAAGGACCGGCUAAUUCCGUGCCAGCAGCCGCGGUAAU
rnacentral:rRNA from 1 species